GAUUGCCCCAGUAACGGCGAGUGAAGCGGCAACAGCUCAAAUUUGAAAUCUGGCCCCCCGGCCCGAGUUGUAAUUUGGAGAGGAUGCUUUUGGCGCGGCGCCGUCCGAGUUCCUUGGAACAGGACGCCACAGAGGGUGAGAGCCCCGUACGGACGGACGCCUAGCCUCUACAAAGCUCCUUCGACGAGUCGAGUAGUUUGGGAAUGCUGCUCAAAAUGGGAGGUAAAUUUCUUCUAAAGCUAAAUACCGGCCAGAGACCGAUAGCGCACAAGUAGAGUGAUCGAAAGAUGAAAAGCACUUUGAAAAGAGGGUUAAAAAGUACGUGAAAUUGUUGAAAGGGAAGCGCCUGUGACCAGACUUGCGCCCCGCGGACCACCCGGCGUUCUCGCCGGUGCACUCCGCGGGGCGCAGGCCAGCAUCGGUUCUCCUAGGGGGACAAAGGCUGCGGGAACGUAGCUCCUUCGGGAGUGUUAUAGCCCGCGGCGGCAUGCCCCUGGGGGGACCGAGGACCGCGCUUCGGCAAGGAUGCUGGCGUAAUGGUCACCAGCGA
rnacentral:rRNA from 1 species